UGGGGAAUAUUGCACAAUGGGCGCAAGCCUGAUGCAGCAACGCCGCGUGAAGGAUGAAGGCCUUCGGGUUGUAAACUUCUGUCCUUGGGGAAGAAACAAAUGACAUUACCCUUGGAGGAAGCCCCGGCUAACUACGUGCCAGCAGCCGCGGUAAUACGUAGGGGGCGAGCGUUAUCCGGAAUUAUUGGGCGUAAAGAGUGCGUAGGUGGCACCUUAAGCGCAGGGUUUAAGGCAAUGGCUCAACCAUUGUUCGCCUUGCGAACUGGGGUGCUUGAGUGCAGGAGGGGAAAGUGGAAUUCCUAGUGUAGCGGUGAAAUGCGUAGAUAUUAGGAGGAACACCAGUGGCGAAGGCGACUUUCUGGACUGUUACUGACACUGAGGCACGAAAGCGUGGGGAGCAAACAGGAUUAGAUACCCUGGUAGUCCACGCCGUAAACGAUGAGCACUAGGUGUCGGGGUCGCAAGACUUCGGUGCCGCAGUUAACGCAUUAAGUGCUCCGCCUGGGGAGUACGCACGCAAGUGUA
rnacentral:rRNA from 1 species